AAAGAUUAAGCCAUGCAUGUCUAAGUAUAAGCAACUAUACAGUGAAACUGCGAAUGGCUCAUUAAAUCAGUUAUCGUUUAUUUGAUAGUACCUUACUACUUGGAUAACCGUGGUAAUUCUAGAGCUAAUACAUGCUAAAAAUCCCGACCUCUGGAAGGGAUGUAUUUAUUAGAUAAAAAACCAAUGCCCUCGGGCUCUUUGGUGAUUCAUGAUAACUUAACGAAUCGCAUGGCCUUGCGCUGGCGAUGGUUCAUUCAAAUUUCUGCCCUAUCAACUUUCGAUGGUAGGAUAGUGGCCUACCAUGGUUUCAACGGGUAACGGGGAAUUAGGGUUCUAUUCCGGAGAGGGAGCCUGAGAAACGGCUACCACAUCCAAGGAAGGCAGCAGGCGCGCAAAUUACCCAAUCCCGACACGGGGAGGUAGUGACAAUAAAUACUGAUACAGGGCUCUUUCGGGUCUUGUAAUUGGAAUGAGUACAAUUUAAAUCUCUUAACGAGGAACAAUUGGAGG
rnacentral:rRNA from 1 species